rnacentral:rRNA from 1 species
GACGAACGCUGGCGGCGUGCUUAACACAUGCAAGUCGUACGGUAAGGCCCUUUCGGGGGUCCACGAGUGGCGAACGGGUGAGUAACACGUGAGUAACCUGCCCACAACUUUGGGAUAACGCUAGGAAACUGGUGCUAAUACUGGAUAUGUGCUCCUGCUGCAUGGUGGGGGUUGGAAAGCUCCGGCGGUUGUGGAUGGACUCGCGGCCUAUCAGCUUGUUGGUGGGGUAGUGGCCUACCAAGGCGGCGACGGGUAGCCGGCCUGAGAGGGUGACCGGCCACAUUGGGACUGAGAUACGGCCCAGACUCCUACGGGAGGCAGCAGUGGGGAAUAUUGCACAAUGGGCGCAAGCCUGAUGCAGCAGCGCCGCGUGCGGGAUGACGGCCUUCGGGUUGUAAACCGCUUUCAGCAGGGACGAAGCUUUUUGUGACGGUACCUGCAGAAGAAGCACCGGCUAACUACGUG